rnacentral:tRNA from 1 species
GCAACAAUAGCUUAAUGUAGAGCGUUGGUCUUGUAAGCCAAAGGUGAAUAGGUGUUCUUGUUGCU